UUUUGGCAAAAAAAUCAUUUUUGGUACAAGCUUUUAUCGCUGACUGUAGGUACUUUUCUUUCCACAGGCAACUAAUAUUCAUCGAGACAAUUCUAACAACCCCAAACACAAUUAGUUUGCGUUGUUUUAUCACAGAGUUCCCAUGGCCACCUCCUGCCUCCAUCAUCAGGUCAGCUCCAUGUCAUCAUAAUAUUGCA